CUUUAGGCCUCUUCUUUCACCCUGCCCUCUCUUCACCUCUGGAGUACCGGCUCACUUUACUCCAGGUUACUUUACUAACCACCUGUCUGUAUUGCCACAACGUGACCCUUUUGGGUGUAUAUCCUCCUUCUCUCUCUAUAUGAAAACUCACUUUCUCUAAAUACUCUGGCCAUGAGGAGAUAUUCUCCUCCAGGAAUUUACGACCUCUCUGACCACAGCAUCCUGGGUGUAGGAGACAGAGAGAUGGUGCAGAGGUAUGACACCGGUGACCCCGCACAUUGACUCUGUACCGGUACCCCCUGUAUAUAGUCUCAUUACUAACCGGUGCCCCCUGCAUAUAGUCUCAUUACUAACCGGUGCCCCCUGCAUAUAGUCUCAUUACUAGCCGGUACCCCCUGCAUAUAGUCUCGCUAUGAUUAUUAUUACUGCUGCUCUUUAAUUAUUUGUUAAUUUUAGUUCUUAUUCAUUAUUUUUUACUGCAUUGUGACUAAUCAAAUUUGAUUUCAAUCUUUUCUUGCCCAUUCACCCUCUGAAUGGCAAAGAAUCAUUAUUUAACCCGUCUCCUCCCCUUCAUCUACACUGAUUGAAGUGAAUUUAAGGUGACAUCAAUAAGGGAUCCUGGAUUCACCUGGUCAGUCUGUCAUGGGAAGAAUGAAUGUGCUAAACAUUGAGAUAGUAAAUGAAUGAUAGGAAAUGAAAGAGACUGGGUGUUCUGUUAGAAUGGAUCUCUGAAGAAAGACAGAAGGCUUUGGAAUGUGUUUGAUGGAGGAGAGGACAGCAAUGCGUUGAUACAUGGGGAGACAGAUGGACAUCUGUGGAUUAGGUGAAGGAGGGGUUGAGGUCAGGAGGUGAGGACAGAGAUGUGUUGAUACAUGGGGAGACAGAUGGACAUCUGUGGAUUAGGUGAAGGAGGGGUUGAGGUCAGGAGGUGAGGACAGAGAUGUGUUGAUACAGGGGAGACAGAUGGACAUCUGUGGAUUAGGUGAAGGAGGGGUUGAGGUCAGGACAGAGAUGUGUUGAUACAUGGGAGAGGCAGAUGGACACCUGUGGAUUAGGUGAAGGAGGGGUUGAGGUCAGGACAGAGAUGUGUUGAUACAUGGGGAGACAGAUGGACAUCUGUGGAUUAGGUGAAGGAGGGGUUGAGGUCAGGAGGUGAGGACAGAGAUGUGUUGAUACAUGGGGAGACAGAUGGACAUC
ensembl:lncRNA